UCCCUGGUGGCUCAGCCGGUAAAGCGUCUGCCUGCAGUGCAGGAGACCCGGGUUCGAUUCCUGGUUUGGGAA
rnacentral:tRNA from 1 species